GCACUUUUAAUUUAAUGGUUAGAAUAGUAGUUUACGAAACUAUAAAUAGGGGUUCGAAUCCCUUAGAGUGCG
rnacentral:tRNA from 1 species